GACGAACGCUGGCGGCGUGCUUAACACAUGCAAGUCGAACGGAAAGGCCCUGCUUUUGUGGGGUGCUCGAGUGGCGAACGGGUGAGUAACACGUGAGUAACCUGCCCUUGACUUUGGGAUAACUUCAGGAAACUGGGGCUAAUACCGGAUAGGAGCUCCUGCUGCAUGGUGGGGGUUGGAAAGUUUCGGCGGUUGGGGAUGGACUCGCGGCUUAUCAGCUGGUUGGUGGGGUAGUGGCUGACCAAGGCUUUGACGGGUAGCCGGCCUGAGAGGGUGACCGGGCACAUUGGGACUGAGAUAGGGACCAGACUCCUACGGGAGGCAGCAGUGGGGAAUAUUGCACAAUGGGCGGACGCCUGAUGCAGAAACGCCGCGUGCGGGAUGACGGCCUUCGGGUUGUAAACCGCUUUCGCAUGUGACGAAGCGUGAGUGACGGUAAUGGGUAAAGAAGCACCGGCUAACUACGUG
rnacentral:rRNA from 1 species